rnacentral:lncRNA from 1 species
GGGGCCAGGGGUUUAGCUCAGUGGUUCUGGAGCCUGCCUCGCAAGCACAAGGACCCAAGUUCGAUCCCCGGUACCAAAAAAAGCCAAAACAACAACAACAACAACAAACUAUUUUGAUUAGCAAACAAGACUAUCAAAGAAUGAUCAUUCUUCAAACAACCAAACCUGAUCUUCCCAUGUCUCCUUUCUAUCAGUCAGGAUGAGACUUCAGAUGCCUUACUAGGCAGGAUCAAUGCCCC